ensembl:snRNA U6 U6 spliceosomal RNA
GUGCUCGCUUUGGCAGCACAUAUACUAAAAUUGGAAUGAUACAGACAAGAUUAGCACAACCCUGUGCAGGGAUGACAUACAAAUUUGUGAAAUGUUCCAUAUUUAA